rnacentral:rRNA from 1 species
UCCAGACUCCUACGGGAGGCAGCAGUGGGGAAUAUUGCACAAUGGGGGAAACCCUGAUGCAGCGACGCCGCGUGAGCGAUGAAGUAUUUCGGUAUGUAAAGCUCUAUCAGCAGGGAAGAAGAUGACGGUACCUGACUAAGAAGCCCUGGCUAACUCCGUGCCAGCAGCCGCGGUAAUACGUAGGGGGCAAGCGUUAUCCGGAUUUACUGGGUGUAAAGGGAGCGCAGGCGGCACGGCAAGCCUGAUGUGAAAGCCCGCGGCCCAACCGCGGGACUGCAUUGGGAACUACCGGGCUGGAGUGCCGGAGGGGCAGGCGGAAUUCCUGGUGUAGCGGUGAAAUGCGUAGAUAUCAGGAGGAACACCGGUGGCGAAGGCGGCCUGCUGGACUGCAACUGACGUUGAGGCCCGAAAGCGUGGGGAGCAAACAGGAUUAGAUACCCUUGUA